CCUACGGGAGGCAGCAGUGGAGAAUAUUUCGCAAUGGGCGAAAGCCUGACGCUGCGACGCCGCGUGAGGGAUGAAGGUCUUCGGAUCGUAAACCUCUGUCAGCAGGGAAGAAAGGUCACUGUGCUAAUCAGCAGUGAAUUGACGGUGCCUGCAAAGGAAGCACCGGCUAACUCCGUGCCAGCAGCCGCGGUAAUACGGAGGGUGCGAGCGUUAAUCGGAAUUACGGGGCGUAAAGCGUGCGUAGGCGGUAUGUCAAGUCAAGGGUGAAAUCCCCGCGCUCAACGUGGGAACUGCCUUUGAAACUGGCAAACUGGAGUGUGUGAGAGGAUAGCGGAAUUCCCGGUGUAGGAGUGAAAUGCGUAGAUAUCUGGAGGAACAUCAGUGGCGAAGGCGACUAUCUGGCACAUAACUGACGCUGAGGAGCGAAAGCGUGGGUAGCAAACAGGAUUAGAUACCCUAGUAGUC
rnacentral:rRNA from 1 species